AAAUCUCUGCCAACUGGGCAACAGUGAAACUAAUAUUAAUCGGUAGAAAAUGAGCCGACUUCGUCAAUCUAUCAACAAUAACCCAAAUUGCGUCGUUCCCUCUAGGAGUAUUCGGCAAACUCGUCACAAAAUCCAUGGAUAUACUAUCCCAUUUCCAUUCUGGCACAUCUAAAGGUACCAUCAUUCCAGCGGGUUUCUGAUGCUCAACUUUCGACUUCUGACAAACUAAACAGGAAUACACAAACUGUGCCACAUCUCGUUUCAAACCAGACCACCAGAAAAUCUUCUUUAAAUCAUGAUACAUCUUCGUAGCUCCCGGGUGAAUACUCAAGCUACUUCUAUGACUCUCUUCAAGAAUC
rnacentral:lncRNA from 1 species